UCAAGUUCCAGAACCUGGACAUGGCCC
rnacentral:piRNA from 2 species